rnacentral:rRNA from 1 species
UGGCGGACGGGUGAGUAAUGUCUGGGAAACUGCCCGAUGGAGGGGGAUAACUACUGGAAACGGUAGCUAAUACCGCAUAACGUCGCAAGACCAAAGAGGGGGACCUUAGGGCCUCUUGCCAUCGGAUGUGCCCAGAUGGGAUUAGCUAGUAGGUGGGGUAACGGCUCACCUAGGCGACGAUCCCUAGCUGGUCUGAGAGGAUGACCAGCCACACUGGAACUGGGACACGGUCCAG